rnacentral:misc_RNA from 1 species
GAUGAAGAACGCAGCGAAAUGCGAUAAGUAAUGUGAAUUGCAGAAUUCAGUGAAUCAUCGAAUCUUUGAACGCACCUUGCACUCCUUGGUAUUCCGAGGAGUACGCCUGUUCGAGUGUUAUGAAGCUCUCAAAACGCAAUUGGCUUAAAACCUGAUUGUUGUUUUGGAUUUGAACUUUGCCGUGUUAUAACGGCUGGUUUUAAAAGUAUUAGCUGGUACUAGAACGAAUUGGUUCUACUCAACGUGAUAAUUUUCUGAUCGUUGAGGACAUUCCUUUCACGAGGAAUGGCCAUAGUAAAUUCAAUGGACUGCUUCUAAUCUGGCUUUAAUUCUUUAUUGGAUUAACCACUUUUCAAAUCUGACCUCGAAUCAGGUGGGACUACCCGCUGAACUUAAGCAUAUCAAUAAGCGGAGGA